UGAUUAAUUGCACCUGUGUCUCGUUGCCCCACCUCAGUGUAUUUAGUCCGGGUUUUCUCCUUUGUUCGGUGUCAGUUCGUUGUCAUGAUCAUUUGCAUCAGCAGUGGUUUGUGGUUUAAAUGUCAGGUGUCCCAGCCUUGUUUCCUGCGCUUCUCCUGAGUCUCUUGGAUUUAUUUCUGCAUUUGCUUGGACCUCGCCUGGACUUUUGGAUUUCGUCUAUCGCCUGCUCCUUGUCUGAUUUGUUUGCUUGUCUCGGACUGCCCUCCUGAUUUGGACCUCUGCCUGCCUGACUACACGUUGAUAAGCUGUCUCUGCUCGUGGUGUCGUGAUGGUACUGAUGAUGGGAAACAAACAACCUAGCAACCAAGCAGCCGCGUCCAAUUACCUGUCUCAGGUGAUUUCAAAUCAAAAAGCCUCUGAUCUCUGAUCAGCCUCCUGAACUCUGCCUGCGGAGGAAACAGAGGUUCAGCUGACGACAACCCUUCAGCUGCCCAAACAGGCCUGCAGAGGAUUCACUCUGACUCUACAUGUAACCAUGGAGACCAGGUUCAGACUCUAAUCGUGUCUGAAUGGAUGGAUGGAGGAUGGAUUGGAUGGAUGGAGGCUUCAGCUCUGAGGGAUUCUUGUUUCUGUGUCGCUGGUCGGGAGCCGACUGUCAGCUGAGGAAGGGGGGCCAAUAAAUAAAACCUGAACAGAAGAAGAAGAAGGCGGCGGCGGCGGGGGGGGCGGCGUCCCCCGAUGGGACUCGACUGACUGCUCUCAUUGUUUCCUGAGAAGGAGGGUAAAACAGUUCUCCUCCUCUGCUGGAAAACAGCAGGGAUGAAAAGACCUUUCCGUCCAAUCAGGUGCCUUCAGUGGAGUGAAAGUCAGGAGCCUCCAUCCAGAUCUGACCGUGUGGUUCAUAAACCCAUUCAGGACACACAAUCUACAGAUCUGUAUUUAUAUAUUUUUUUAAUUGUUUUAACUUGUGCUACGCUUUUCUUUCCUAUUUCCUAUGUGUUUCACUGCUGUGCAACCAACAGCCCUCUGAGGAUAAUUGAUUUGAUUGAUUGCAGCCUCUAAGAUUAGUGAAACCUACAAAGAAUCGACAUCUGAAACAUUAUUUUUAGUCUUACAGUCAUCGAGGAGCAGCUGUUGACACACUGAAGAUGGGGGCACAGAUUUAAAGAAGGGGGGUACAUUUGUAAAAUUUGUAAAAAAAAAAAAAAAAAAUGUGUUAUGACUCCAUUUUAAAGCCCUGGUUCUUGGUGAUAACGUCAAAUCAACAACUUUGAAUAUUCUAAUAUGAAAUAAUAUCAAUAAAUAGCUGCUAUUUGUAACUCCAAAUAGCCUACAGGCCAAGGCAGAUUGGCAGACAGUGGUCCCUGGACAGAGACAUGUAAAAGGCCCCCCCACCCCUCCAUCAGAGGACAGUGUUUCCCCUAUAUGCAUUCAACAGCAGCGCAGUGCCACAGCUAAAUGAUUAGCACCGCUGCUUUAUAAAAAUCUGCCCAAACACAAUGAACUUGGUAUCUCUACUUUAAGCAGCCAGAGUCGGGGACGAGCGAGGAUUAUAAAUCAAACGCCCCCAGACAUUGCCACCAUUUAGCGGUCUGUUAUUGGUCGUUCAAAAGCGCAGGUGGCGGCAACGAAGGCUCCGCUGCCGGUCUCGCUACCUACCAAUUACAACGAAGUUAAGCGAAGACGUAGAGUCCACGCGGAACAGCUCAAAGGUAGGCCGCUCCUCUUCAUCGAAGGGGAAGUCUGUUAUUUAGCUGACUGCAUAGUCAGAGAGAUAGAACGUAUGCAUGUAUGUAUGCAUGCAUGCAUGCAUGCAUUACGUUCGCUGUCUAAGUUCCCCCGCUUGUGGGCGUAAUGGGGGUGGUAGAAAUAUCCGUAGCAAAUGUCGGAUCAAAUCCGCGGUUUAUUAAUGAAUGUAACAGCAGGCCUAUGCCUCAGUGGUGUGGGGUUUUACUAGGCUUUGUUUUCUGAUUAACGUUAGCUAAACUAAACUUGUUUGUAACGCGGCAACAGCUGAUAGGUAAAUAGGUAACACUAACAUCAAUAAUCUCCACCAAUUUCCUCCAAGCGUGACUCUUCCUGUCACUACUGUUGUGUUGGAGGAGACAGGUUUAGAUUUGACACGAUGUGAUUUGAUUCGACGUUGUUUGUAUUGUAUUAUAUGUUCAAUAAAAGUGUAUAUUUUAAGUCUUGAAGCAUUUUAUUAAACGUAAUUCGACAUCU